UACAGAGGUCCCAAGCGUUGUUCGGAUUCAUUGGGCGUAAAGGGCGCGUAGGCGGCACGGCAAGUCAGAAGUGAAAGGCCUGGGCUCAACCGAGGAACUGCUUUUGAGACUGCCGAGCUAGAGUGCGGAAGGGGCAACCGGAAUUCCCAGUGUAGCGGUGAAAUGCGUAGAUAUUGGGAAGAACACCUGAGGCGAAGGCGGGUUGCUGGGCCGACACUGACGCUGAGGCGCGAAAGCCAGGGGAGCAAACGGG
rnacentral:rRNA from 1 species